rnacentral:rRNA from 1 species
AUUGAACGCUGGCGGCAUGCCUUACACAUGCAAGUCGAACGGCAGCGGACCUUCGGGUGCCGGCGAGUGGCGAACGGGUGAGUAAUAUAUCGGAACGUACCUUUCAGUGGGGGAUAACGUAGCGAAAGUUACGCUAAUACCGCAUAUUCUGUGAGCAGGAAAGCAGGGGAUCGCAAGACCUUGCGCUGAUUGAGCGGCCGAUAUCAGAUUAGCUAGUUGGUGAGGUAAAGGCUCACCAAGGCGACGAUCUGUAGCGGGUCUGAGAGGAUGAUCCGCCACACUGGAACUGAGACACGGUCCAGACUCCUACGGGAGGCAGCGGUGGGGAAUUUUGCGCAAUGGGCGAAAGCCUGACGCAGCAACGCCGCGUGGGUGAAGAAGGUCUUCGGAUCGUAAAGCCCUGUCAGGAGGGACGAAACAAAUGACGGUACCUCCAAACGGAAGCACUGGCUAACUCCGUGCCAGCAGCCGCGGUAAAGUCUAGCA